AAUGUAUGGAUUUUACAUGGUCGUUCAAGUGGUAGUACAGCCAUGCAAAGUUUCCAUAUGUUACAAUGAGCAUCUUCUCACAUUCUUUGUUGUGUUUACGAAUGUGGUCUUCAGCCUUUGUCAAGUUAGCGAGUGCUUCUUCUGGCUGGUCUUGCAAAUAAUUCACAAAAGCCAAAAAGCUGAAUAAGUGUUUGUCCCCGGCUUGAUCAGCUGAACUGAAACUGACAUCAUCCUCCAGUCUAUUUUGCAAGUCACUGAGGUCAGUGUCCUCUUUCCUGAGACCCCAGGUGAAGUGGCACUGAAGUUGAAUAAGUUUU